GAAGCGAGAUGGUCUUCGCAGAAGCGGCCAGGAAUGACUGAGGAUGGAGUCGCAGAAGCGGGAAGGUGGACCGCGGAAGCGGAGUCGCACUUGCGGAGGGGAGAUCGCAAAAGUGGAGUUGGCCAAGAAGGCCUGGGGCCGCAGGAGCGGACUUUGUCAACCAGGUGCGUGAGCGCAGAUGCGCUAGUCGUCCGCAGAAGCGGAAGCGCAUAAGCGCUAUUUGGGACGGAAAAGCGGAGGCUCCUGGCUUGAGCUGUUGCCGCACCUGCGAUGGUUUUUCCGCAGGUGCGGAGCCGCAGAAGUGGCUAUUUUACCGCAGAUACGAAAGGUCGUCUAGGCAGAGGUGUUCUUUUAAAAGCGGGAUUUGGCCCAUUUUCUCUCAUUUUUCACUUGGUUGGGGCGAAUUUGGAUAGCUUCAUGAGGUGAUUUUCAUCAAGCAACACAAGGUUUGAAGAGACAUGCAUCGGGUUGAAGUGUUUGAGUGGCGUUGUAGCCGGUUAUGGAACUUCGGAGCGAGGAAUGUUGGAAGUUUGGUCUCCCAUGAUGAAAUCCAACUAAAAAAUGAGUGUUAUGAAUUACAAGGCAAUAAAGGGUGAAAAAUCAAAGAAGUGCGGUCCGUAGAAGAAAGUGCAGACCGCAGAAUUUCAUUUGCGGCGGCAAACCAAGUGAAAGAACCCAAUAGGACUUUUGCCAAUGUGUGAACCGCACAUGAAUUGUGCGGCCACAGAACAGGGUCUGCACUGACAAGUGAUUCCAAGUUCAGAGAGUGUGCAAAAGACCAAGUCCUGAAGCCUUGCUGAAGUGCAGACCGUACAAGAAUUGUACGGCUGCAGAAGAUGCUUCGCAGCCGCAAUCCAGAAAUGUGCGGCUACAGAACCCAAGUUCCUGCCAACUGAAGAAAUCUGCGGAUCGCACAUGGAAUUGUGCGGCCGCAGAACCUCCUGAAGGGCAUUUUUGUCAGCGAAUUUUAGGCAUCUUUGAUUAUGUGUUUAAUUAGCAUUUCUUCUUUAUUUUCUUCAA